rnacentral:tRNA from 1 species
UCCCUGGUGGCUCAGAGGGUAAAGCGUCUGCCUGUGGAGCAGGAGACCUGGGUUCGAUCCCUGGGUUGGGAA